ACUCUACACAUGCUGUUGUUAAACCUCAUUUGGUUCCUCACUGCCCAACGAAUUCUUCCAUGCUUUUUCUCCUGUACUACUCAAAGACAAGUCACAGAAACAGGUCCAAAGAAAAUAAGCCAAACAGCUAACACAGGGCACUCGUGUACAAAAAAGCCCUGUUUCUUUGGUAAGCACCCAUAGGCAGGUGGAGGUGUGAUCUUUGUCAGAGUCACACAUCAAAGCCCUUCAGUCACGGAUUCCAGAAAGACACAAACUUUACUUCAAGUACCUCAGACGCUCCCAUCGCCCCAUGCUCAGGCUUCAUCUGUCGUCUGUACUUUGUUCUACAUCCAUCUCAUUUUUUCAAAUGCGUGACUGCAACAAAGUGAAGAUGAAGAAACCAAACGAUAUUUUCAAGAAUUAGCAAAGUCUACAAGAUUCUUAAGCUGUUAACAUACUCGUCCCUUGGGCACACAGAAUAACACUACUACUGUGACCUCAUGCACCCAAAUGAAAUCAAAACAGAACAUGCCGAAGAGGAAAUGUCAUACCCAGAAGCUAGAAGAACACUGGUUCCUUCUCCUGCCCAUCAAUGGCAAAUAAACUAAGCUGAAGAGCAGUCAAAUUACUGAAAUUGAUGUCACAUCAAUUGAAAAAUUGUCUGAGCCCGCACCAUAAGCAGUAAUUGCUCUCUACUCAAUUCACGGGCCCAAGCUGCCUGUUUCCCAUCUGCUCCUACACAAUUUAACUAAUUCUGAUCUUUGCUCUCCGUUCCUGAAAGCGUCACAGACUUACAAGCGUGUCAGAGGCCAAUUCUUUACAUUCUCCACCAGGGUAAGCUAUUAUGAAGAGUGAAAAUUCUGCGUCCAUAAUUGCCAAGCCAGGCAAAUUCAAGGAGGAUGAUCACACAUGGCCUUCCUGAACCCGCCGUGUAAAAUUCAUAAGAUAACAUAACACACACCUCCAUGUAUAGAAAAUGAGGUCGUUAUGUUCGCUCCUUGCACUCGUAUGAAGAUAGGCUUAAUACACAAUACAAACUGCUACUAAAACGAUUUGCUGCUGGUUUUGAGGAAUACAGAGAGGCCCUCUGAACACCUUGUGCUCCUGCUCAGCAUCCCCUGGGCUCCUUAGAGGCACAUAAGAGGCAGCUCAGUCUUGGAAGGGUUUUCAGGAACGAAAAGGACAGAAUCUCACCAAACACUACAGAGUUCUGGGGUAUGACAGAUCAGCUGUAAACAGAUAUCAAAUAUUCCAGUAGUAUCUCAGCAUUUUUUCAUAAGAUAAAAAGCUAUUAAUUCCAAACACAGUUAAUCAUUUGUGGGUUUUGUUACUUAACAUUUUUACGCUAUCUAAAGUCACAGCUGCUUCAUGCUCUCACUGAAUUACAGUGUUCUCAUCCUUGGAUGACAGCAGAUGAAGUACUGUAAACGAAAGCCAAGACUCUACGUGACAGAAGAGCCACUGAUGUUCAUCACUACUCUCUGGGGGUAAUGCAAGAGAGGAUAACCAGCAUAGUUUGCCACUGCUGACCAUUUCACCAACUUCUGAGCCAUUUGCAAUGACCAGAAAAGCCAAAUAACGUGAGUGCGGAUGCACAGCGUGCAUUUUAAUUGAAAAGCAAGACAGCGCAUCUCAGAAAGAAGACAUGAUAAAUAUAGAGAAAGGGGCUGAACUGCCCAAAGCAGUAUCACCCUCGUCUGCAGCACAGGUGCCCCCCUGACGUGCUGUGCUGCUGUCACUGCCCAGCUAUGUACCUCAGAAGCAGGGUCUGCUGGGCGGGAUGCCCCUCUCCCGUGCAAGCAAAGAACUUGCAAACUUAAGGAACAGUUUUGAAGCAACUGCUACCUCGGUAUCGAGUUUAAGUUACCAUCAGCAGCAAAAAAGAUGGGACUCAGAAUGAUUGGGAAUAGACUUUUGCUUCUGAUUGAGGUAGAAGAGACAUGAUACAUAAAAUACCCACCGCGGGCUAGGCUAAUGAGCAGGAGCACUGCAGCACUGAAAGGACACCAUAUACGUACCAUCUGAGAUGGCUGACUCCUGGGAUAGAGGUCAGCUCUGUUGUCCUAUCUAGUUUUUCAAAGUACUCUUGCUUAUUGUUAUUAUUUAAACACACAGGCUUAAAGCCAAGCUGCUUAAGGCCACACAAUAAAUUAUUCCUUUGUCU
rnacentral:lncRNA from 7 species